CAGGGCUGUUUCCCAGCCUGGCCUGGAUGCAGCUUCUGCCCAGCCCCUGCAGGAAGGCAUUUGGCAUCAGCUGACAGGCUGCCCAGCUACACCACAGGCCUGAGAUCCCCUGCAAUUUUCCAGUCGCCGGGUAGAACAGAAAGGGCACCAGUUUGGAGAAGGGAGGGCCCUGGCCUACCCAAAAAGUUUAUAGGGAUUUCCUGAUUCUUAGCCAUAUCUUUGACAAGCAUUCCCUCCUGAAGGCACCACCUCCCCAGUGGGGAACAGCCCCACCUGAUCCAUCUGUCCCUCUUCCUUUCUCCAGAAGUGGAUGGAGACGCUGGGCAGUUUCUGGAGGAAGCAGUGGAUCUGUGCCAGCCUCUGCUGCAGGAAGAGAGGCGAUGCCAGGCACAGUCCCAGGAGAUUGGGAUCAAGACAUGGAUUAUCUGGGAAACCUGUUGGAUUAUGGCUUGAAACUCAUGGGAAAUCCUGGAGGCAAGUGCUCAAUGUAUUUUUCCUGAGAGAAUACACAGUGACCAAAUGGCAAGAGCUCAUAUAUUUGCCCUUUCACUUAAGAUCAUCUGAAGGUUGAUGGAAUACGGAAAAUUUUGCCCUGCUCCCUUCUGGAGCCCUGAGUGAUCCCACAGGAUCACUGUCAGUGCGAGGAAGGAGCAUUUAGCUGUCCAUCUUCCUCCUGUGUGUAAUGCCAGUGUGUCCUUCUGUGUGCUCUGUGCAGCCAGGGAGAAGAGCAGAGAGGGAAGGGGCCGGGCCCAGGGCUGUGCCCCGGGGCUGAGCCUUGUGGGCAGCCUGAGGAUCUCCUGCAGUGCCACAGGAGCUCUUCUGUCCUGCCUUUCUUUGCAGCUGAAUCUGCUGGUGAAGGUGGUGCAGCUUCCCAAGCCAUGUCCAGGACGGAGCCUCUGGGAGAUGCUGAGGUGAUGGACCAAAAAUCUGUGCAGAAGGAGGCACAUCCUGGAGGAAGCAUUUCUCCAUGGACAGCCCCUGUUGCUGGAAGGAAAGUGAUGCCAGACACGGGCACGGGCACAGCAGAUGCAGCCGGCACCACAACACGUGUUCCCGAUGCCCAGAAGGGCCUCGGAAGGGGCUUCUGUAUGGGAACAGGCUGCUGGACAGGGUUACUGGCAGGCCUGCUUUGUUUGGACCUUAUUCUCAUAUUGUGCUGUGUCAGAAUCUGGUGUUACUGGAAGAAGAAACGGAGCACCUCUGGAACUUCACCAGACCGGCCAAAGGCCUCAGUCAUGGAGAACUGGGCCUGUCAUGCUGCAUCUCCGUGCCAGUGUCUGUUGUCCCUUCCACAAGUGCAUUACCAGCUUAUAGCUGGAAAUAUGCCGCCACCACCACCCACCUCCCUCUCCGAAGGGACUGACCUUGCUCUCCAUCCAGGACAGGAGGUGCAGCCCUCUAGCCUAGGAAUGGAUUGUUGAAAAAGUUAUAUUUACUUGUAAAAAUUUUAAAUGUUUAUUAAAACCUUUAUUAAAAGUAUAACAAGAGACUGAA